UCAUUAUCAACCCUCAAGCCUGGCUUGUCAUUGAACCUCUUGUCGUUAAAAGACGGGUUCGAAAGAUAAUGACGGUGUCGCGAUCAACCCUAGAUGCAACGAGCUUCACAGCACGCAUGUUAGUGGCUGGCCGCCGGCCCCGUCUUCACCUUAUUUCAAUGGUUGACCUCGGAUCAGGUAGGAAUACCCGCUGAACUUAA
rnacentral:misc_RNA from 1 species